GCGGCGUGCUUAACACAUGCAAGUCGAACGGAUUAAAGGGGCUUGCUCCUUUAAUUAGUGGCGCACGGGUGAGUAACACGUAGCUAAUCUGCCCUAUAGUAAGGGACAACAGUUGGAAACGACUGCUAAUACCUUAUACUCCUUCUUGGCAUAAGCCUGGUCGGGAGAGUUUUUUCGCUAUGGGAUGAGGCUGCGGUCUAUCAGCUUGUUGGUAGGGUAAUGGCCUACCAAGCCUACGAUCUAUAGCUGGUCUGAGAGGAUGAUCAGCCACAUUGGGACUGAGACACGGCCCAAACUCCUACGGGAGGCAGCAGUGGGGAAUAUUGGACAAUGGGCGCAAGCCUGAUCCAGCCAUGCCGCGUGAAUGAUGAAGGCCUUAGGGUUGUAAAAUUCUUUCAACGGGGACGAUAAUGACGGUACCCGUAGAAGAAGCCCCGGCUAACUUCGUGCCAGCCGCCGCCGUAA
rnacentral:rRNA from 1 species